UGGGGUGACUGCGUACCUUUUGUAUAAUGGGUCAGCGACUUAUAUUCUGUAGCAAGGUUAACCGAAUAGGGGAGCCGGAGGGAAACCGAGUCUUAACCGGGCGUUAAGUUGCAGGGUAUAGACCCGAAACCCGGUGAUCUAGCCAUGGGCAGGUUGAAGGUUGGGUAACACUAACUGGAGGACCGAACCGACUAAUGUUGAAAAAUUAGCGGAUGACCUGUGGCUGGGGGUGAAAGGCCAAUCAAACCGGGAGAUAGCUGGUUCUCCCCGAAAGCUAUUUAGGUAGCGCCUCGUGAAUUCAUCUCCGGGGGUAGAGCACUGUUUCGGCUAGGGGGCCAUCCCGGCUUACCAACCCGAUGCAAACUGCGAAUACCGGAGAAUGUUAUCACGGGAGACACACGGCGGGUGCUAACGUCCGUCGUGAAGAGGGAAACAACCCAGACCGCCAGCUAAGGUCCCAAAGUCAUGGUUAAGUGGGAAACGAUGUGGGAAGGCCCAGACAGCCAGGAUGUUGGCUUAGAAGCAGCCAUCAUUUAAAGAAAGCGUAAUAGCUCACUGGUCGAGUCGGCCUGCGCGGAAGAUGUAACGGGGCUAAACCAUGCACCGAAGCUGCGGCAGCGACGCUUAUGCGU
rnacentral:rRNA from 1 species